rnacentral:rRNA from 1 species
AUUGAACGCUGGCGGCAUGCCUUACACAUGCAAGUCGAACGGUAACAGGUCUUCGGAUGCUGACGAGUGGCGAACGGGCGAGUAAUACAUCGGAACGUGCCCGAUCGUGGGGGAUAACGAAGCGAAAGCUUUGCUAAUACCGCAUACGAUCUACGGAUGAAAGCAGGGGACCGCAAGGCCUUGCGCGAACGGAGCGGCCGAUGGCAGAUUAGGUAGUUGGUGGGAUAAAAGCUUACCAAGCCGACGAUCUGUAGCUGGUCUGAGAGGACGACCAGCCACACUGGGACUGAGACACGGCCCAGACUCCUACGGGAGGCAGCAGUGGGGAAUUUUGGACAAUGGGCGAAAGCCUGAUCCAGUCAUGCCGCGUGCAGGAUGAAGGCCUUCGGGUUGUAAACUGCUUUUGUACGGAACGAAAAGACUCUGGUUAAUACCUGGGGUCCAUGACGGUACCGUAAGAAUAAGCACCGGCUAACUACGUG